rnacentral:rRNA from 1 species
AUAAGCAAUAUAUACUGUGAAACUGCGAAUGGCUCAUUAAAUCAGUUAUCGUUUAUUUGAUAGUACCUUACUACAUGGAUAACCGUGGUAAUUCUAGAGCUAAUACAUGCUAAAAACCCCGACUUCGGAAGGGGUGUAUUUAUUAGAUAAAAAACCAAUGCCCUUCGGGGCUCCUUGGUGAAUCAUAAUAACUUAACGAAUCGCAUGGCCUUGCGCCGGCGAUGGUUCAUUCAAAUUUCUGCCCUAUCAACUUUCGAUGGUAGGAUAGUGGCCUACCAUGGUAUCAACGGGUAACGGGGAAUUAGGGUUCGAUUCCGGAGAGGGAGCCUGAGAAACGGCUACCACAUCCAAGGAAGGCAGCAGGCGCGCAAAUUACCCAAUCCCGACACGGGGAGGUAGUGACAAUAAAUACUGAUACAGGGCUCUUAUGGGUCUUGUAAUUGGAAUGAGUACAAUUUAAAUCCCUUAACGAGGAACAAUUGGAGGGCAAGUCUGGUGGACUCGCGUCCCAGCGACACGCUGACGCCAGAUAGAGCGACCCCCUCUCGAGGGGAGUCGCUAGUCGAGCACCUAUUCGAUUGAUAGGAGGGUGCCGGCGAGGUAACCUGGUACGGGGGACCCCGCGAGCCUUGGAGGCCUGCGGCAACCUCGUGGCGAGCGCUCUACAGCGCCGUCGUAACGCGCGCAAAGGUACCGAUCCUCUGCGGAGGGUUCAAGGGACGUGCUAUCUCCGUGCGUAAGCACGCCUCCAGCAAACAGCACCUAUCAUGCGAAGGCUGGAGGGCACCGACGGGUGCGAAUCGGGUGGGCUUGCGAGCCCAUCCUCACAGGCCAGCAGCCGCGGUAAUUCCAGCUCCAAUAGCGUAUAUUAAAGUUGUUGCAGUUAAAAAGCUCGUAGUUGAACCUUGGGCCUGGCUGGCCGGUCCGCCUCACCGCGUGUACUGGUCCGGCCGGGCCUUUCCUUCUGGGGAUCCGCAUGCCCUUCACUGGGCGUGUCGGGGAACCAGGACUUUUACUUUGAAAAAAUUAGAGUGUUCAAAGCAGGCCUUUGCUCGAAUACAUUAGCAUGGAAUAAUAGAAUAGGACGUGCGGUUCUAUUUUGUUGGUUUCUAGGACCGCCGUAAUGAUUAAUAGGGAUAGUCGGGGGCAUCAGUAUUCAAUUGUCAGAGGUGAAAUUCUUGGAUUUAUUGAAGACUAACUACUGCGAAAGCAUUUGCCAAGGAUGUUUUCAUUAAUCAGUGAACGAAAGUUAGGGGAUCGAAGACGAUCAGAUACCGUCGUAGUCUUAACCAUAAACUAUGCCGACUAGGGAUCGGGCGAUGUUACUAUUUUGACUCGCUCGGCACCUUACGAGAAAUCAAAGUUUUUGGGUCUGGGGG